UACAGAGGGUGCGAGCGUUAAUCGGAAUUACUGGGCGUAAAGCGCGCGUAGGCGGCUUUGCAAGUCGGGUGUGAAAUCCCCAGGCUUAACCUGGGAACUGCAUUCGAGACUGCAUUGCUAGAGUAUGGGAGAGGGAAGUGGAAUUUCCGGUGUAGCGGUGAAAUGCGUAGAUAUCGGAAGGAACAUCAGUGGCGAAGGCGGCUCACUGGACUGGUAUUGACGCUGAGGUGCGAAAGCGUGGGGAGCAAACAGG
rnacentral:rRNA from 1 species